GCCCGGAUGGCGGAAUGGUUUACGCGCAACACUUAAAAUGUUGUGCCGAAAGGCAUGAGGGUUCGACUCCCUCUCCGGGCACCA
rnacentral:tRNA from 1 species